rnacentral:lncRNA from 1 species
AACCGCCUUGAAAUCCUUUUCCUCUCCAAUGCUCUCAAAACCUAACCCUAAUCGAACCUCGUCGUCACUCAUCUAUGGCUAUUCGUGGUGGUUUCCCACCUACCCCAGGCCUCUAACGACCUCUCCUCUACUGGUAUCACCAUCUCCAGGGUCCUCAAGGGACCAGGGUUAGUCUGCUUGCAUCCAUGGCCCUUUUUCUCCUGUCUCAGGCUGUUCCGGUGUGAUUCCGAGUAAGAGCUUUCUAUAUUGCCUUAGAUUUAUGGGUUUUUGAGCUUGCUUCUUCACCUCUAUGUUGUUUCUCUCGAAACCCUAAUUUCUUCUAUACUUCUUAGAUCUGUACAGAUCUGAGAGGGUUUGGACCUAUUUUGUAUGGGUUUUAUGAGAACCUUCCGAUUUUUACAAGAACCCUCUUAUUUUCGAAUGAUUUUCCAUCUUUCUAAACUAGGGUUUUUCGGAAAUUUCUUUUUCCAGAACAUUUGAUAAUCUUGAGUGUUAAUCUUUUGUUUCUUAUAUGUUUUAACCGAUUUCGUAAGGUUUGCUCUAACCUUAACUCAUUUAUACUAAAAGCCCUAAUUUUUCGACAUUUUUUGUUUGGUUUCUGAGUUACUUGUGUACUGACUUUGUUCUUUCUUUUGUGCUUGUGAUUUUUCUUUAUCCAUUUAGAUGUCUCGUGAUUUUUUUAUCCUAAUAUGCCUCUAUUAAAGUUUCUUGGUUCCACUUUUCUACUAUUCUAUAUGUCUAUGCUCUUUCUGGCUAUUCAUGGUAAACCUAUUUUUCUCCUUAAAUCAGAGUUCUUUUGAAUGUUUGAUUUUACCAAUUUGCUUCAUUAAGACCUAUGUGUUGAAUCCUGACUAUUCAUUUCUUGCCUUAUUUUGUCUACGAGAAUUGCUGACUUUUUACGUGAUUUUCUCUUUGAUUGAACCCUUGACUAUUCUGAAGUUCUUAUUUUCUGAUUUGAUUUGAACUCUUUUCCUUAGCAAAACCUUUGAUUCUUACUUCUCUACUCAGUUUGAUUGAAUUUCUUGCCUUAAUUAAUUUUGUCCUUGCCUUAUUUGUUAUUUGCCAAUUCUCACUGAUUGUUUCCUUAAUUGAAACUCCUAUUCAUUCACCCCUAAUUACCCACUCUAUACUCAAGCCUUACUUGAUUCCCUUCCUUAAAUGUCUUUCAUGCUUUUACCGUUGAUUGAUUAUCCCUUGAUUAAGGGGAAGACUUACUGAUUUUACGUGUGUGACUGAUUCUGUGAAUUUACCUAAUUGCUACAUAAUUGAUCCCUUACCUUAUUUUGUUUAACUCUUGAUUACUAUAUAAACUCCCUCUUAUUUUAACUUCUGGACACGAAUAAUAGUUCAAAAAACUAUCACUUUUACACUCUAAAAGCUCUUUCUACUCUCUCUGAUACUUGUGAUCUUUGUCACUCUAGCCGGCCGCAAGCCAAGGCUAGAAAUUGUGCAACACUUGUCUUAUAUCUUGUGUUUUCUUCCUCUAAUUGGUAUGCUUCUGAUUAAAUUUCAGAACCAAAACCUAUGUGUUUAUUUACUGCAUUAGUUCAUCAACCCUGAGUUCAUUCCUGCUUCUGUUUACUGUUUGCCUAGCAUGCCAAAUACUGCCUUAUCUAAAUAUGUAAUUUGCUUGCCUCCACUUUACUUGUCUGUCUAACAUGUCUUACAUGUGUAACUAGCCUGUUUUGACUGAUUACUGCCCAUCUAGCAUAUCUAAGCCUUACUUUUGUGUAAUAGCAUGCCUACACUUGCCUAAUAUGUUCAUCUAAGUUUGUGCCUGUUCUGCCCUACUCCUGCUAAGUUAGUUACUCUCCCUAGAAUGGCCUCAACAUGCUUCUUUGUUGCAUGACGUACAUUCUAUCUAACCUACUAGUUCUGUAGAACCCCUUAAGAACUCUAUGAAUCCUGUUGUUUAUGUGUUCCAUUAAGGUGCAUUCUCUGUGUUCCCAACCCCUCUUCCCUUAUGUGAAAGUUGCUUGCCAAAGUACUCCCUAAAACUGUUUGUUCUAUGACUUAUGUUCUGAUUGCAAAUUGUUUCUUUACACUUUCCUCAAAACCGUUUUAUCACUAAUGGUUUUCAGAAAUUCUUUUCAAUCCUAAGACCUUUGUUUUAAACUCUUUCAAACCAUUAUGCACUUUCACUUACUCCUAGAAUACUAGGUCCUGCCCCUCUGGUGUGUGUACUGCUUAGAAACCCUUGAGAUCUCUUUGAACUCUGGCAUAUCAGGGCUGGCACUUCCACACUGCAAAAUAAUCAGUUGUUAUUUGAUAAAGGUCUAGGUGUGAGCACUUCCCGGAAUCCUUGAUGUCCUUAGGGAAUUCUGACACAUAUAGAUAUGAAAUUGGCUAUGGAACUUUGGCAUUUGAGACUACUGGAGACUUGGAAAUCAUUUUGGCCUACUUCAGGAUCCCUAUAGAUUAAUUUCUAUUCUAUUUAUGUAUUUUUAUUCAAUUCAUUGGUCUGUAAUAAUUAUUUGUAAACAAGCAGUGGGGUGAUUAGUGAAAAGGGUGGGUAGUUAUAUAUUGUGGGUAAAAUUGGGUAGAUAACAUGUCUAUAAGGUCUAUUUGGAUUUAAAUGUGUUUGUUAGAUAACAUGCCUAUAGGAUCUGCUUGGGUUUAAAUAAAUUCUGCAUGCUUUACUUCCACACAAUUAGAAGUCAUGCCUAUAAGACCGG